rnacentral:rRNA from 1 species
AAACACUUUCAGCAACGGAUGUCUUGGCUCCCACAACGAUGAAGAACGCAGCGAAAUKCGAUACGUCAUGCGAAUUGCAGAACUUAGUGAGUCAUCAAAAUUUUGAACGCAACYUGCACUUC